AUUACCCCCAGAGGUUCUCCAAACACUUCAUUGGGAAUUACUUCUAUUUGUUCCCACUGAAGUGUUUGGGGGAACUCCAGGGGUCAU
rfam:Daucus carota subsp. sativus cultivar DH1 chromosome 8, whole genome shotgun sequence.